rnacentral:rRNA from 1 species
GACGAACGCUGGCGGCGUGCUUAACACAUGCAAGUCGAACGGAAAGGCCCUGCUUUUGUGGGGUGCUCGAGUGGCGAACGGGUGAGUAACACGUGAGUAACCUGCCCUUGACUUUGGGAUAACUUCAGGAAAAUGGGGCUAAUACCGGAUAGGAGCUCCUGCUGCAUGGUGGGGGUUGGAAAGUUUCGGCGGUUGGGGAUGGACUAGCGGCUUAUCAGCUUGUUGGUGGGGUAGUGGCUUACCAAGGCUUUGACGGGUAGCCGGCCUGAGAGGGUGACCGGCCACCUUGGGCCUGCGAUACGGCCCAGACUCCUACGGUAGGCAGCAGUGGGGAAUAUUGCGCAAUGGGCGGAAGCCUGAUGCAGCAACGCCGCGUGCGUGAUGACGGCCUUCGGGUUGUAAACCGCUUUCGCCUGUGACGAAGCGUGAGUGACGGUAAUGGGUAAAGAAGCACCGGCUAACUACGUG